CCGAGCGUGCACCUCCCACCCCGCCAAUCGACGCGCGCCUCUUUGGAGAGAACGGGUGACGUCAUCCCUACCCCGUGAGGGCGGGGCUGAGGGCGAGGAGGCGGGGCGCUCGUGGGUCCCGCCCUUUUUGCUGCUCACCUUCUCUCCUCACAGCGUCCGCGGUUUCAACGGUCCGGGGCGCUCUGAGGGAAAACCUAACGCGGGGCUCGGCGGCCCCGGGCAGCCAUGAGCAGAUCCCGUUAAGGAUGGUAGUGAGACCUUCCACUGAACGUCCACAUAAGUUGAAAUCUAAAAUCACUGGCAAGGAGUUUCCUCUGGAAGUAAUCCCUCUUAAGCGUCACUCAUGGCCCUCAUAAACGGCUCUCAUGGCAGCCGGCUCUGAAAAUACCUCAUAAAAUACCAACUUUUUUAGCAGCUGUCCUUCCAGUUUUCUGGCAAGAAAGGGGCAUUCUAUGCAAGACGAGACCUCAGUGAGUGUCCCGUGCCCAGGCAGCACCCACUCACCACAGCUGCCCGUGAAUUGCUUCCAUUCUCACACAGCGGUGUAUUUCUGCACAGAAAAACUGCCGUGAUCCCCUCAGCAUCUCAGUUCCAGCAUAGCAGUGUGAAACAUAAAAAUAUCCAACUGCAGAUAGAUCACUGUAAGAAGAAAACGUCAGAGAAGGCGUGAUGUCCCGACUGUUCUUCCUUGCUGCAUCUGUAGGGUGUUACAGACUGCCAUCCUCCGAACUGGAAACAAGCUCCAGAUAUUUGCAGCUGACCUGGGGAAGGAAGGGAGUAGAGGUGAUGGAGUGAAUCCAUCAUGCCAGAGCUUCCGAGCUGAAGGGUUUGAGCCACCUGAUCAGGGAAUCUUAGAACUUUCCUUGGUUGGGCAGACGUUCAGUAGGUAAGGAGUCUGUACAGCACAGCCAACAGAAAAGCAAGGCACACAAAGGAAGGUGGAAAAGUGGGAGGCGAUGGCAAUGGCGAUAAUCCAGUGUGCUCAUUGAGGCUCUGGGAGGAUGCAGGAUCCGCCCGUCCCAGAUGGCGGGCACAGCAUGGCUGCUGCAGUGACUCUGAGCAUGCAUCAGCAGGUCUGUCACAGCACAAGAAGGCAGCGGGGGGGACAAAGAGAAGAGGAGAAAAAGAAGGAGAGAAUUAGGGAAAAAGCAGAGCUGAAUGUUAAAA
rnacentral:lncRNA from 1 species